GUGCGGGGGAGCCUGGGAAUGGUGGGGUUCAGUUUGGGACUGGCAAUCCAGUGCAUAAAGGACACCCUAGAAGUCUCGUGUUGCACCUCGGGGGACCCUGCUGGGGCCCAAAAGCCAGGGCUUGGAUCUUCCUCUGAUAGUUCUACUUCAUUCUGUCAAAGAUCCAAUUCCCGAAAGAGUUUUUUUCAUCAUCUUCAAACAUCCAGAAUUGGCUCACACAAUUACAGAGGCUGAGAGGCCAUACUAUCUGUCAUGUGCAUGCAGGAGAACCAGGAAUGCUGGUGGUGUAAUUCAGUACAAGUCAGAAGACCUGGGAACCAGGGAGCUGAUGGUGCCCUCAGUGUAUUGGAUGAUACCUGCCAAUACUGGAAAGGCCAUGUGACCACACACCAAGAAGCUAGCUGUCUGCCAGCCAGGAAGAGAGCCCUGACCAGUAAUCAAAUUGGCUGAAGACUUGAUCUUGGACUCCUUGUCUCCAGAAAUAUGUUGGCACUUCUUAGGAAGGAGCCAUCCAUGUCUGAAGAGAAGAAAUGAUAAUUAACUUCAUCAUGUGGAAAGCUUUAGAAGGAAGUAUCUUGUCCUUCUGUCCAAACCCGCCUCCUCCUUACCACCCCCAAUAAAAAUAAAAGCCAAACAAAUAAAACA
rnacentral:lncRNA from 10 species